CUGACUUCUGGGUCAGAGGUCAUGAGCUCUGAGGUUCCUCAGGUGUUGCCUGGAUAAAAAUGCCCUUUUACCUGCCUAUAAAAAACUGUACGGUUUUCAUUUUGAAAAUUCCAUGAUCUGUAAGAACAGAAAUUUCACAUAGGACAAACUUUUCUAGAGAAUAGAGAAGUGCGUAUUUCCCAACCCAUCUUUGAGGCCAGCACAACGGUGACACUGAAAUCAGACAAGGACUGUAUAACAAAAGAAAAUUAUAAGACAACAUCACUCAUUUAUCUGCAUAAAAAAUGCCAGGUGUUCAUGGGUGUCUCAGGCUGGUCCAUCAGAUAGAUGUGCCUGAAAUCUUUGCUCUGAAGAGAUGUGCCACGGUGGUGGGAAAAGAAAUCCAAGCAAGCACCAGUGGAGUAUUCCAGGCUGUCAGAGGUCGCUGAGGUAGAAAGAAUGAACAUGAUGCCCUGUGCCUCUCUACAUCAAAGAAACUAAGACCCAGAGGAAGAAAACAUCUUGGCCAAGGAUCCAGUCAUUGGCGAAACUGAUACUCCUAUCCAUUUACAUAGAAUACUGCCCCAGAGAAACAGGCAGCAGCCAUCAGCAUUGAGACAAAGCCGUCCGUAAGCAAAAAGAUUACAACUCGUUGGAAGCUCAGAUGAUUAGUAUUUUUUAGCAGUAUUUUAAAAUUAAGCGCAACGACGUGAUGAGCUCCAUAACGUCUUAGGUCUUGCAUGGCCCUCUACGUGGCAGCUGAUUUUCACUCUUGCUUCUCUGACAUUCUCCUGGGAAGGCCACUAGCCACUCAGCCUGCACUUCACAUCACCCUGAAGCUGUUCCAUGAGGCUUUGCAGCAGCCGAGGCACUGUCACCUGCGUACCCUGUUUAGUUUUGUCAGAGUUGAACCACAAGAAUAUACAAUAAUGGGAGAGAGACCAAAGAGUUCAACCUUAUUCAGACUGAGCAAAGCACCUUCUGGGAAGCUGGUUCACUGGCUAAGAAUACUCUGUGUCCUACACAUGAUACUCUAUGUACUGUACUCAUUGUACAUAAGGAAACAGGUUUUUUGUAGGUCAAAAAGGUUGAAUGGUGGUAAUUUCAUAUGCUUCACCGUAUAAUCAUACUCUGACUUGCUAUAAUGGAUUUGUAGAGUCUCUAUUUUUAAUAAAAAUAUUUCUGUGCUAUAUAGGGCAGUGCUCAACAA